AAAUGGAACAGAGAAGGGGUUACGGUCAUAGGGGUAUUUUGGGCUUUCCAAAUUAAAUUUUGACAAAAUUUGGGUUUCGCGGUUUAGGGUGCCAAAGACGUUCGUUCAAGCCUUCCUUCUUCUCGUUCGUUCAAGCCUUCCUUCUUCUCGUUCGUUCAAGCCUUCUCUGUCGUCCGUCUUCUCUCUCGGUGUGUCGUCCGUCUUCGAAGCUUCUCUUGCCGUGUUCGAAGCUUCCAUCCUCGGUUUCGUUCUCUCCUCCUUCUUCAAAACGUGCGUUGAAACCCUUACAUUUUGGUGGCCGUUGCAAUGGAAGGGAAAAAAGCAAGUUGGCGACUUCUUAUCUCGAUGGAUUCAUCGAUCAUUAUUGAAAUGAAUCGUUUACUCCGACAGUGUCAUGUGGAUCGGAUUAGGAUGACACCAUUUAUGUGGUGUGUGAAUAUUA